UACGUAGGUGGCAAGCGUUGUCCGGAUUUACUGGGCGUAAAGAGCGCGCAGGCGGUCGGUCAAGUCGAGUGUGAAAGCCCCUGGCUCAACUGGGGAGGGUCACUCGAUACUGAUCGACUCGAAGGCAGGAGAGGGAAGUGGAAUUCCCGGUGUAGUGGUGAAAUGCGUAGAUAUCGGGAGGAACACCAGUGGCGAAGGCGACUUCCUGGCCUGUUCUUGACGCUGAGGCGCGAAAGCUAGGGGAGCAAACGG
rnacentral:rRNA from 1 species